GCAGACACAUUCCAGCCAAUCAGCAGCAGAUCCUCCCUCCCAGACCCUCCCACCUCCUGGACAGCAUCCAUUUUGAAGCGGCAUUCUUAGUGAGCUGUCCAGGAGGUGGGAGGGUCUCGGAGGGAGUGUCUGCUGUUGAUUGGCUUGAAUGUGUCU